CCUACGGGUGGCAGCAGUGAGGAAUAUUGGUCAAUGGACGAGAGUCUGAACCAGCCAAGUAGCGUGAAGGAUGACUGCCCUAUGGGUUGUAAACUUCUUUUAUAUGGGAAUAAAACGUUCCACGUGUGGGAUUUUGUAUGUACCAUAUGAAUAAGGAUCGGCUAACUCCGUGCCAGCAGCCGCGGUAAUACGGAGGAUCCGAGCGUUGUCCGGAUUUAUUGGGUUUAAAGGGAGCGUAGGUGGAUUGUUAAGUCAGUUGUGAAAGUUUGCGGCUCAACCGUAAAAUUGCAGUUGAAACUGGCAGUCUUGAGUACAGUAGAGGUGGGCGGAAUUCGUGGUGUAGCGGUGAAAUGCUUAGAUAUCACGAAGAACUCCGAUAGCGAAGGCAGUUCACUGGACUGCAACUGACACUGAGGCUCGAGAGUGUGGGUAUCAAACAGGAUUAGAUACCCCAGUAGUC
rnacentral:rRNA from 1 species